UCAUAGAUAAGGCCAGCUCGAGCUUCUCGGUCCAUUCGACUGAUUUCGACCCUUCCGGUGAAUUUUCGUCCCGCGAUCAAUCCCGAAUAUUUUUCUACGCCCGUUCUGAUGAGAUGAAUAUUUUUAAUAAACUCCAAGUGAAUCCUGACAUUGAUGGAAAAUAUUUUCCAAGCCUCUGGCUUCCUCGAAAAAUCGAUAAUACCAAAAUUAGGGUUUUCGCCGAACUUCGGGUUUUCCCGUCGUGCUUCAAUCCCGUCGUGCUUGCUUCCCGUCCUGCUUAAUUCCCGUCCUGCUUCCGACUUAUAAUG
rnacentral:lncRNA from 1 species